rnacentral:rRNA from 1 species
AGUGAACGCUGGCGGUAGGCCUAACACAUGCAAGUCGAACGGCAGCACAGUAAGAGCUUGCUCUUACGGGUGGCGAGUGGCGGACGGGUGGGGAAUACAUCGGAAUCUACUUUUUCGUGGGGGAUAACGUAGGGAAACUUACGCUAAUACCGCAUACGACCUACGGGUGAAAGCAGGGGAUCUUCGGACCUUGCGCGAUUGAAUGAGCCGAUGUCGGAUUAGCUAGUUGGCGGGGUAAAGGCCCACCAAGGCGACGAUCCGUAGCUGGUCUGAGAGGAUGAUCAGCCACACUGGAACUGAGACACGGUCCAGACUCCUACGGGAGGAAGCAGUGGGGAAUAUUGGACAAUGGGCGCAAGCCUGAUCCAGCCAUACCGCGUGGGUGAAGAAGGCCUUCGGGUUGUAAAGCCCUUUUGUUGGGAAAGAAAAGCAGCAGGUUAAUACCCCGCUGUUCUGACGGUACCCAAAGAAUAAGCACCGGCUAACUUCGUG